rnacentral:rRNA from 1 species
CCUACGGGUGGCAGCCGUAGGGAAUUUUCGUCAAUGGGCGCAAGCCUGACCGAGCAAUGCCGCGUGAACGAGGAAGGUCUUCGGAUCGUAAAGUUCUGUUGAAGGGGAAAAACAGCGGAGAGAGGAAAUGAUCUCUGAUUGAUAUUACCCUUCGAGGACGUCACGGCUAACUACGUGCCAGCAGCCGCGGUAAUACGUAGGUGGCGAGCGUUAUCCGGAAUGCGUGGGCGUAAAGGGUGCGUAGGCGGCCUGCUAAGUCUGGUGUGAAAGGUACCGGCUCAACCGGUACAGGGUAUGGAAACUGGCGGGCUAGAGAGGAGGAGAGGGCGGUGGAAAUGCAUGGGGAGCGGUAAAAUGCG